GCUAGCGGCAGGCUUAACACAUGCAAGUCGAGGGGCAGCGAGUAGAUUGCUUGCAAUCUAUGUCGGCGACCGGCGCACGGGUGCGUAACGCGUAUGCAACCUACCCAUUACAGGGGGAUAACACUGAGAAAUCGGUACUAAUACCCCAUAACAUCCAGGGAGGCAUCUUCUUGGGUUGAAAACUCCGGUGGUAAUGGAUGGGCAUGCGUUGUAUUAGUUAGUUGGUGGGGUAACGGCUCACCAAGACAACGAUACAUAGGGGGACUGAGAGGUUAACCCCCCACAUUGGUACUGAGACACGGACCAAACUCCUACGGGAGGCAGCAGUGAGGAAUAUUGGUCAAUGGACGCAAGUCUGAACCAGCCAUGCCGCGUGCAGGAAGACGGCUCUAUGAGUUGUAAACUGCUUUUGUACGAGGGUAAACGCAGAUACGUGUAUCUGUCUGAAAGUAUCGUACGAAUAAGGAUCGGCUAACUCCGUGCCAGCAGCCGCGGUAAUACGGAGGAUUCAAGCGUUAUCCGGAUUUAUUGGGUUUAAAGGGUGCGUAGGCGGUCGGAUAAGUUAGAGGUGAAAUCCCGAGGCUCAACUUCGGAAUUGCCUCUGAUACUGUUCGGCUAGAGAGUAGUUGCGGUAGGCGGAAUGUAUGGUGUAGCGGUGAAAUGCUUAGAGAUCAUACAGAACACCGAUUGCGAAGGCAGCUUACCAAGCUACUUCUGACGUUGAGGCACGAAAGCGUGGGGAGCAAACAGGAUUAGAUACCCUGGUAGUCCACGCAGUAAACGAUGAUAACUCGUUGUCGGCGAUACAAUGUCGGUGACUAAGCGAAAGCGAUAAGUUAUCCACGUGGGGAGGACGUUCGCAAGAAUGAAACUCAAAGGAAUUGACGGGGGCCCGCACAAGCGGAGGAACAUGUGGUUUAAUUCGAUGAUACGCGAGGAACCUUACCCGGGCUUGAAAGUUAGUGACAGAUCUGGAAACAGGUCUUCCCUUCGGGGCACGAAACUAGGUGCUGCAUGGUUGUCGUCAGCUCGUGCCGUGAGGUGUCGGGUUAAGUCCCAUAACGAGCGCAACCCCUACCGUCAGUUGCCAGCAGGUCAAGCUGGGCACUCUGGCGGGACUGCCGGUGUAAGCCGAGAGGAAGGUGGGGAUGACGUCAAAUCAGCACGGCCCUUACGUCCGGGGCUACACACGUGUUACAAUGGCAGGUACAGAGGGCAGCUACCCAGCGAUGGGAUGCGAAUCUCGAAAGCCUGUCUCAGUUCGGAUUGGAGGCUGAAACCCGCCUCCAUGAAGUUGGAUUCGCUAGUAAUCGCGCAUCAGCCAUGGCGCGGUGAAUACGUUCCCGGGCCUU
rnacentral:rRNA from 1 species